rnacentral:ncRNA from 1 species
CGCGCAUGCCGCCGUCUACGGCCUGCGCGCCGUCCUGCAGCACCCGCCCGAUCUGGCACAGGGCGGGAGGAGAGAAGAGAGAAGA